UCCCAGUUAGUACAAUGGUCAGUAUAGGGCACUCUCAUAAACUAACCAUUGUACCAACCGAUAAGUUGGUUGGUUGGUGAUUGAUCUGCUCAGAUCAGGGUUCGAUUCCCUGGCCGGGAA